UACGUAGGGUGCAAGCGUUAAUCGGAAUUACUGGGCGUAAAGCUUGCGCAGGCGGCUUUGCAAGACAGAUGUGGAAUCCCCGGGCUUAACCUGGGAACUGCAUUUGUGACUGCAUGGCUGGAGUGCGGCAGAGGGGGAUGGAAUUCCGCGUGUAGCAGUGAAAUGCGUAGAUAUGCGGAGGAACACCGAUGGCGAAGGCAAUCCCCUGGGCCUGCACUGACGCUCAUGCACGAAAGCGUGGGGAGCAAACAGG
rnacentral:rRNA from 1 species